CCGUGCUAGACGGGGAGUCAGCGGUUCCUUGUAACCCGCAAUCCGCUAUAGCGGGGUUUAAUUCCUUUGAUGAGGAUCUGGUCGUCGGAGCAGUCCAUGUUUGAAUGUGAUGAGUUUCUGGUCUUGCGCAACGGAACGCUUUGAACCGUGUCAGAUCCUGACGGAAGCAGCACUAAGGAGUUAGUUCUGUGUGCCGCGAGGUGACCGGGAAUGAACAUUUGAGCAGGGUUAACGUCCGGAGGUUUUGGUUCGAUCAAAGGUGCACGG
rfam:Dehalobacter sp. CF, complete genome.